UAACACUAACUGGAGGACCGAACCGACUAAUGUUGAAAAAUUAGCGGAUGACCUGUGGCUGGGGGUGAAAGGCCAAUCAAACCGGGAGAUAGCUGGUUCUCCCCGAAAGCUAUUUAGGUAGCGCCUCGUGAAUUCAUCUCCGGGGGUAGAGCACUGUUUCGGCUAGGGGGCCAUCCCGGCUUACCAACCCGAUGCAAACUGCGAAUACCGGAGAAUGUUAUCACGGGAGACACACGGCGGGUGCUAACGUCCGUCGUGAAGAGGGAAACAACCCAGACCGCCAGCUAAGGUCCCAAAGUCAUGGUUAAGUGGGAAACGAUGUGGGAAGGCCCAGACAGCCAGGAUGUUGGCUUAGAAGCAGCCAUCAUUUAAAGAAAGCGUAAUAGCUCACUGGUCGAGUCGGCCUGCGCGGAAGAUGUAACGGGGCUAAACCAUGCACCGAAGCUGCGGCAGCGACACUCAGGUGUUGUUGGGUAGGGGAGCGUUCUGUAAGCCUGUGAAGGUGUGUCGUGAGGCAUGCUGGAGGUAUCAGAAGUGCGAAUGCUGACAUAAGUAACGAUAAAGCGGGUGAAAAGCCCGCUCGCCGGAAGACCAAGGGUUCCUGUCCAACGUUAAUCGGGGCAGGGUGAGUCGACCCCUAAGGCGAGGCCGAAAGGCGUAGUCGAUGGGAAACGGGUUAAUAUUCCCGUACUUGGUGUUACUGCGAAGGGGGGACGGAGAAGGCUAUGUUGGCCGGGCGACGGUUGUCCCGGUUUAAGCGUGUAGGUGUGUGUUCCAGGUAAAUCCGGUUCACUUUAACACUGAGGCGUGAUGACGAGGCACUACGGUGCUGAAGCAACAAAUGCCCUGCUUCCAGGAAAAGCCUCUAAGCAUCAGGUAACAUCAAAUCGUACCCCAAACCGACACAGGUGGUCAGGUAGAGAAUACCAAGGCGCUUGAGAGAACUCGGGUGAAGGAACUAGGCAAAAUGGUGCCGUAACUUCGGGAGAAGGCACGCUGACACGUAGGUGAAGUGAUUUACUCAUGGAGCUGAAGUCAGUCGAAGAUACCAGCUGGCUGCAACUGUUUAUUAAAAACACAGCACUGUGCAAACACGAAAGUGGACGUAUACGGUGUGACGCCUGCCCGGUGCCGGAAGGUUAAUUGAUGGGGUCAGCGCAAGCGAAGCUCCUGAUCGAAGCCCCGGUAAACGGCGGCCGUAACUAUAACGGUCCUAAGGUAGCGAAAUUCCUUGUCGGGUAAGUUCCGACCUGCACGAAUGGCGUAAUGAUGGCCAGGCUGUCUCCACCCGAGACUCAGUGAAAUUGAACUCGCUGUGAAGAUGCAGUGUACCCGCGGCAAGACGGAAAGACCCCGUGAACCUUUACUAUAGCUUGACACUGAACAUUGAGCCUUGAUGUGUAGGAUAGGUGGGAGGCUUUGAAGCGUGGACGCCAGUCUGCGUGGAGCCGACCUUGAAAUACCACCCUUUAAUGUUUGAUGUUCUAACGUGGACCCGUGAUCCGGGUUGCGGACAGUGUCUGGUGGGUAGUUUGACUGGGGCGGUCUCCUCCUAAAGAGUAACGGAGGAGCACGAAGGUUGGCUAAUCCUGGUCGGACAUCAGGAGGUUAGUGCAAUGGCAUAAGCCAGCUUGACUGCGAGCGUGACGGCGCGAGCAGGUGCGAAAGCAGGUCAUAGUGAUCCGGUGGUUCUGAAUGGAAGGGCCAUCGCUCAACGGAUAAAAGGUACUCCGGGGAUAACAGGCUGAUACCGCCCAAGAGUUCAUAUCGACGGCGGUGUUUGGCACCUCGAUGUCGGCUCAUCACAUCCUGGGGCUGAAGUAGGUCCCAAGGGUAUGGCUGUUCGCCAUUUAAAGUGGUACGCGAGCUGGGUUUAGAACGUCGUGAGACAGUUCGGUCCCUAUCUGCCGUGGGCGCUGGAGAACUGAGGGGGGCUGCUCCUAGUACGAGAGGACCGGAGUGGACGCAUCACUGGUGUUCGGGUUGUCAUGCCAAUGGCACUGCCCGGUAGCUAAAUGCGGAAGAGAUAAGUGCUGAAAGCAUCUAAGCACGAAACUUGCCCCGA
rnacentral:rRNA from 1 species